GCCAACACCAACUACUUAUGUUGCAAUUUCACAACAGUUCUUAUACUUUUCCUAGUGAUAUCAACUUCUUCAUGCGCAAGACCAUUGCUCAAUAAAGGGUCCUCUAGUAUUGUUGAGUUUCACACGAAGGCCGUCAUGAAUGGAAAUUUGGACUUACUAUUACAUAGGCUUCCUAAAGGAAAAGUACCAGCGUCCGCACCCGGUAAAAGAACCAAUGAUAACAACAACUAAGGAGAUUCAAUCACUCUACAUGUGAAAAUUUAUUCAUUCUUUUUCAAUUUCUU
rnacentral:misc_RNA from 1 species